rnacentral:snRNA from 1 species
GACACCGAAGGUGGAGUUAGACACUGACACUGGAAUGAUAAGACAUUAGCAUUGGCCCCGUGCAAGGAUGACACGGAAGUUGUGAAGUGCUCCUUUUUUUU